rnacentral:misc_RNA from 1 species
UAAUAAGUGUUUUAUGGCACUUUUUAAAUCCAUAUCCACCUUGUGUGCAAUGUCAGUCGAUCUUCUUCAUGAGAGAUCGACCAAACAUCAACCUUUAUUUCUUAACUCUUUUGUCUGAAAAAUAUUAUGAAUAAACAAUUCAAAAUA